rnacentral:rRNA from 1 species
AGCGAACGCUGGCGGCAGGCUUAACACAUGCAAGUCGAGCGGGCAUCCUUGUGGUGUCAGCGGCAGACGGGUGAGUAACGCGUGGGAACGUGCCCUUCGGUUCGGAAUAACUCAGGGAAACUUGAGCUAAUACCGGAUACGUGCGAGAGCAGAAAGGUUUAUCUGCCGAAGGAUCGGCCCGCGUCUGAUUAGCUAGUUGGUGAGGUUAUGGCUCACCAAGGCGACGAUCAGUAGCUGGUCUGAGAGGAUGAUCAGCCACACUGGGACUGAGACACGGCCCAGACUCCUACGGGAGGCAGCAGUGGGAAAUAUUGGACAAUGGGGGCAACCCUGAUCCAGCCAUGCCGCGUGAGUGAUGACGGCCUUAGGGUUGUAAAGCUCUUUUCUUCGGGACGAUAAUGACGGUACCGGAGGAAUAAGCCCCGGCUAACUUCGUG